GGUUGUGGCUCAGUGGUAAAGCACUUGCCUAGCAUGUGUCAGGCACUGGGUUCAAUCCUCAGCACCA
rnacentral:tRNA from 1 species